AGUCGAACGGGGUCCAUCCACUCGCAAGAGUGGGGAAGACCUAGUGGCGAACGGGUGAGUAACACGUGAGAAACCUGCCCCGGAGACCGGGAUAACAGCGGGAAACCGCUGCUAAUACCGGAUGCCUUCAUCUGAUCGCAUGUUUGGAUGAAGAAAUGGAUUCCGCUCCGGGAGGGUCUCGCGGCCUAUCAGCUUGUUGGUGGGGUAACGGCCUACCAAGGCAUCGACGGGUAGCUGGUCUGAGAGGACGAUCAGCCACACUGGGACUGAGACACGGCCCAGACUCCUACGGGAGGCAGCAGUGGGGAAUCUUGCACAAUGGGCGAAAGCCUGAUGCAGCAACGCCGCGUGGGGGAUGAAGGCCCUCGGGUUGUAAACCCCUUUCAGCAGGGACGAAACUGACGGUACCUGCAGAAGAAGCCCCGGCCAACUACGUGCCAGCAGCCGCGGUAAGACGUAGGGGGCGAGCGUUGUCCGGAUUUAUUGGGCGUAAAGAGCUCGUAGGCGGUUUGGCAAGUCGGAUGUGAAACCUCCAGGCUUAACCUGGAGACGCCAUUCGAUACUGCUAUGACUUGAGUCCGGUAGGGGCGCAUGGAAUACCCGGUGUAGCGGUGAAAUGCUUAGAUAUCGGGUGGAACACCAGUGGCGAAGGCGGUGCGCUGGGCCGGAACUGACGCUGAGGAGCGAAAGCGUGGGUAGCAAACAGGAUUAGAUACCCUGGUAGUCCACGCCGUAAACGUUGGGCACUAGGUGUGGGGACCUAUCGACGGUUUCCGUGCCGUAGCUAACGCAUUAAGUGCCCCGCCUGGGGAGUACGGCCGCAAGGCUAAAACUCAAAGGAAUUGACGGGG
rnacentral:rRNA from 1 species